rnacentral:rRNA from 1 species
AACGCUAGCUACAGGCUUAACACAUGCAAGUCGCGGGGCAGCAUGAAUUUAGCUUGCUAAAUUUGAUGGCGACCGGCGCACGGGUGAGUAACGCGUAUCCAACCUUCCCUUAUCCACGGGAUAGCCCGUCGAAAGGCGGAUUAAUACCGUAUGAGGUCAUUUGAUGGCAUCUGAUUAUGACGAAAGGUUUGGCGGAUAAGGAUGGGGAUGCGUCCGAUUAGCUUGUUGGCGGGGUAACGGCCCACCAAGGCGACGAUCGGUAGGGGUUCUGAGAGGAAGGUCCCCCACAUUGGAACUGAGACACGGUCCAAACUCCUACGGGAGGCAGCAGUGAGGAAUAUUGGUCAAUGGGCGAGAGCCCGAACCAGCCAAGUAGCGUGCAGGAUGACGGCCCUAUGGGUUGUAAACUGCUUUUAUGCGGGGAUAAAGUGAGGGAUGCAUCCCUUUUUGCAGGUACCGCAUGAAUAAGGACCGGCUAAUUCCGUGCCAGCAGCCGCGGUAAUACGGAAGGUCCGGGCGUUACCCGGAUUUAUUGGGUUUAAAGGGAGCGUAGGCUGGAGAUUAAGCGUGUUGUGAAAUGCCGCGGCUCAACCGUGGCACUGCAGCGCGAACUGGUUUCCUUGAGUGCGCUGAAAGUGGGCGGAAUUUGUGGUGUAGCGGUGAAAUGCUUAGAUAUCACGAAGAACUCCGAUUG